ensembl:snRNA U6 U6 spliceosomal RNA
GUUCUUGUUUUGGCAGCACAGCUACUAAAAUUGGAAUAAUAUAGGGUUUAGCAUGGACUCUGCACAAGCAUGACACAAAAAUUCAUGGGUUACUCUGUAUUUAA